CAGCAGCCGCGGGAAUACGAAGGGUGCGAGCGUUAAUCGGAAUUACUGGGCGUAAAGCGUGCGUAGGCGGUGAGUUAAGUCUGCUGUGAAAUCCCCGGGCUCAACCUGGGAAUGGCAGUGGAUACUGGCUCGCUAGAGUGUGUCAGAGGAUGGUGGAAUUCCCGGUGUAGCGGUGAAAUGCGUAGAGAUCGGGAGGAACAUCAGUGGCGAAGGCGGCCAUCUGGGACAACACUGACACUGAGGCACGAAAGCGUGGGGAGCAAACAGGAUUUGAUACCCGUGUAGUCCCUGUCUCUUAUAC
rnacentral:rRNA from 1 species